GCCAGGGUAAUGUAGUGGUUUGGAUGUUGGACUGGGACCCAGGAGACCAGGGUUCAGAUCCCUGCUUGGCCA